rnacentral:rRNA from 1 species
CGGCAAAAGCUCAAAUUUGAAAUCUGGCCGCAAGGUCCGAGUUGUAAUUUGAAGAAGGUAACUUUUGAGUCUAUCUUUACUUAAGUUCCUUGGAAUAGGACGUCAUAGAGGGUGAGAAUCCCGUUCUGUGGAGUAAUAGUCUCUUGUAAAGUGCUUUCGAA